CCUGGGUGCGCCUCUGCCGGCCGCGCCCGGUCCUGCUCCCCAGCUUCUCCCGGAAGCCCGGAGCACGGCCCUCAGUCCGCCCGAAGCUGCCCGCCCUAGGGGCUCCGUGGAGCCCUGCGACCCCCCCCCCCCGGCUCGCGUCCCCUGGGCCCCGCUGCCCACCGCAGGGAGGGCCAGGUGGUGAGGACAGAGCGCCUGGGCCGUGUGGGGAGCAAGAGGCCCCGCCGGCAGCUCUGAGCAGCGCCUCCGUCUCCGGCCCGGCCCCCGCCAGCCGUGCGGUCCUCCCCGGACGAGGCCGCCGGACACCUACCUAGCUCGUGUCCCUCUUCCCAAGCACUCGGGCGGGGGCGCCCGGACGAGAGGGAGCUGAAGGAGCUCAUCCAGACGGGGCCCCCGGGGCCUUCCCAGCCCUUGUUCAUUCUCGGCCUGAUGGGUCCAUGCUUGGAGAGGCGGGGUGCUCCCAGCCAGGGGUCCAGUCCUUCCCAGCAAGGAGCGGCAGGGCGAGGAGUAAAGCCGAGGUGGAGCCAAGGCGGACGCCCUUCCUUGGUGACAAAGCUGUGCCACGCUGAGAUGGAAGCAGUCCUGCCGGACAUGGACCGGAACAGGGACCGCAUCGCGGACUUCGGGAGUAUUUCACCUUCCUGGGGACUUUGGCUUGGAUCUACAGUGAAUCCCUCAAGGAGAACAAAUAAAUUGGGAACGUGGAGGUGCCUUCUGGGGACCUGAGUCAAAUCUGGCUGUGGGUAAUUGUUCAAUAAACUUUGGGUCAGAUCUCUUGUG